GUGGAAUAUUGGACAAUGGGCGCAAGCCUGAUCCAGCCAUUCCUCGUGGGUGAAGAAGGACUUCGGGUUGUAAUGCCCUUUUGUUGGGCAAGAAAACCAGCCGGCCAAUACCCGCUUUUUCUGACGGUACCCAACGCAUAAUCACCGGCUAACCUCGUGCCAGCAGCCGCGGUAAUACGAAGGGUGCAAGCGUUACUCGGAAUUACUGGGCGUAAAGCGUGCGUAGGUGGUGGUUUAAGUCCGUUGUGAAAGCCCUGGGCUCAACCUGGGAACUGCAGUGGAUACUGGAUCACUAGAGUGUGGCAGAGGGUAGUGGAAUUCCCGGUGUAGCAGUGAAAUGCGUAGAGAUCGGGAGGAACAUCAGUGGCGAAGGCGACUGCCUGGGCCAACACUGACACUGAGGCACGAAAGCGUGGGGAGCAAACA
rnacentral:rRNA from 1 species